rnacentral:rRNA from 1 species
GAAUAGGAAAUUUAAGGGCGUAUGGUGGAUGCCUUGACUCUGACAAGCGAAGAAGGACGCGAGCUGGCGGCGAUACGCUCCGGGGAGGUGCCGAGCAACCUUUGAUCCGGAGAUGUCCGAAUGGGGAAACCUAUCCGAUUUAUCGGAUACCGUGCCAUUUCGGUACGGUGCAUACCUGGGGAAGUAAAACAUUUCAGUACCCAGAGGAAAAGAAAACAAUGAUCGCAAGAUCGCAAUCUCCCGAGUAGCGGCGAGCGAAACGGAAACAGCCCAAACCGAUCACAAACUUUGCGCACAAGUCUUUGCGCGUGAAGUUUGUGAUCGGUGUUGUAAGGCGGCAGCGUCGAUAUUUAUAUCGAGAAAAGUCACAAAACGUGGUGGUAGCAGAAUCUGCUGGGAAGCAGAACCCGAGGGGGUAAUAGUCCCGUAAGCGAAACUACUCACGUCUUUUUUGUUGCCGUUCUUGAGUACCUCAGGACACGAAUAGCUUGAGGGAAUCCGCCGGUACUAACCGGCAAGGCUAAAUAUUGUCAGAGAUCGAUAGUGAACUAGUACCGUGAGGGAAAGGUGAAAAGCAGCCCGGUGAGGGCGGUGAAAUAGACCUGAAACCAUAUGCCUACAAGGAGUCGGAGCGGGUCGCACGUUGCACAGAAAAAAUUCCGUGCAGUGUGCGGUCCGUCACGGCGUGCCUAUUGAAGAAUGAGCCAACGAGUUGAUCUGCGAAGCAGGCUAAGCCCUUUACGGGCGGAGCCACAGGGAAACCGAGUGUGAAUAGCGCGUUUGUUUUCCAGAUCAGACCCGAAGCCAGAGCGAGCUUGUCUUGAACAGGGUGAACCCGCCAGAAAUGGCGGGGGAGGCCCGCACCGGUUAGCCGUGCAAUACUAUCGGAUGAUUUGAGACAAGAAGUGAAAAGCUAACCGAGCCUGGGAAUAGCUGGUUCUCUCCGAAAUAGCUCUAGGGCUAGCGUUAUAUGUACCUUCCGGGGGUAGAGCACUGGAAGGUCUUGACAGGUAGAAAUACCGCAAGACCUAUCAAACUCCGAAUACCGAGAAGUAACAUUGUAUAGCAGUUAGACUGUGGAGGCUAAGCCCCAUGGUCAAAAGGGAAACAGCCCGCAUCUCUAUUUAAGGUCCCAAAAUUCAUGUUCAGUACACUGAAGGUGGUAAUUUUUCUUUGACAGUAAGGAGGUUGGCUUAGAGGCAGCCAUCCUUUCAAGAUAGCGUAACAGCUCACUUACUCAGAGAUUUUGCGCCGCAGAUGAUCGGGGUUAAACAUGAUACCGAAACUGAGGAUUGUAUCCGCGUUCGCGCGGGUGCAGUGGUAGGAGAGUAUUCAACUCCGCGAUGAAGCCGAAGCCGAGAGGCACGGUGGAGCGUGUUGAAGGAAGAAUGUUGGCACAAGUAACCACAAUGCGGGUGAGAACCCCGCACACCGAAAAACCGAGGUUUCCUUCGCGAUGACAAUCAGCGAAGGGUUAGUCGGGCCUAAGGCAAUGGCGAAAGCCGC